rnacentral:tRNA from 1 species
AGCUAAGUGGUGCAAUGGAUAGCACACCAGCCUUGAAGUCAGGAGGACCCAAGUUCAAAUCUGGUCUUACUUA